CCUACGGGAGGCAGCAGUGAGGAAUAUUGGUCAAUGGGCGCAAGCCUGAACCAGCCAAGUAGCGUGAAGGAUGACUGCCCUACGGGUUGUAAACUUCUUUUAUACGGGAAUAAAGUGAGGCACGUGUGCCUUUUUGUAUGUACUUUAUGAAUAAGGAUCGGCUAACUCCGUGCCAGCAGCCGCGGUAAUACGGAGGAUCCGAGCGUUAUCCGGAUUUCUUGGGUUUAAAGGGAGCGUAGAUGGGUUGUUAAGUCAGUGGUGAAAGUUUGCGGCUCAACCGUGAAAUUGCAAUUGAUACUGGCAGUCUUGAGUACAGUUGAGGUAGGCGGAAUGCGUGGUGUAGCGGUGAAAUGCUUAGAGAUCACGAAGAACGCCGAUUGCGAAGGCAGCUUACUAAACUGCCACUGACAUUGAUGCUCGAAAGUGUGGGUAUCAAACAGGAUUAGAUACCCGAGUAGUC
rnacentral:rRNA from 1 species